CUUAUUGGGCUCCUGUCUGCAGGAUUUACGCGCACGUUGGAACCGAAGAGAGCUCUGUUGUUGCAAUGUUCAGCCCACAAGAGCUUACUGGUGAAGGAAUGGGACAAGACCCAUCUUUAUGCAAAGCCAGCGUUACAGUAAUGUUCCAGGUAGGUGUACAUGGUUUAUGCUCUUACAGAGGAGACCUUGUAGAUAACCACUCCAUGAUGAACACAAAAUGACAAGCAUAUGGCUGAACUUUCAAGUGAUGUCAUCUUACUACUGAGAAGUGAGAGAGAGGUCUUAAGGGGUCUUUGAAUGACUAUUUUUAGGUACAUAAAAUGCUUUCCUCUGUUGUCUACAGCAUCUCAUAAUCUAUCCUGGGGAAUUCAGCUGCCUCCCAGGGUGAAUACAGGUAUUCCUGAUGACAGUCUGCCUCUAUCUUACAGUAAGUUGUUUUUCGAAUUCUAUGGGCCUAUUAUCUAAUAGAUAACUUAGCCAUUUUGAUAUUUGUUACCAAAGCCUGCUUAACCCAUAAAGUUUUCUGGUUCCUCUUGUUCUCUGUAGUGAUGUUUCUAGAUAGAUGCCCACUGAUAUAUGCCCCUUUUUUCUCAGAUAGAUGCCCACUGAUCUGCCCAGGGUCAGACGAAUGCUUGUCAGUUGUAGCUUUCCAGGAUUCUGCUCCAAUGAGGAGGAAACAUCCUGCCUUACCCCUGUUUUAGCCUGGGAACCAGUAAUUGUGAACUCACCAGGGUUAACAUGAAGAGGGCAUGAGAGCUUAUUCCAUAAGGAAUUGUCUGAGACAUUUGGUUACCUUUUCUUAGUUUGUCCAUUAGCAACCGUAACUAAAAUAGUUUUGGCUGUUUGGGAUAAUUAGCUAAUUGAAUGAUUUUUUGAUUCAGGAGCAGCUUGUUGCUAUAUACCAUUGAAAAGCCUUCAGAGCUGAGAGGUUAGUUGAUAUUUUUUGUUCCUUACAGCUUAUGCCACCAAGUAGGCAGUUUCUAUGAUGAAUCAAACUAGCUCACUAUGACCGACAGUGAAAAUACAUGAACACCUGAGAAACUGGAGAACGCAGGGAGUGGGGGGUAACCAUGUCUGAGGAAUCUUUCACCCACAGCUUUGUUUUUCUCUAGGUACUACUAACCAAUAACCUGCUUGGCUCAAAGGUGAGUAAUUUCACGGUAUUCAAUGCACUCAGUAUAUAGGGUAGGAAAAAGUGCCUUUUUAGGCCUGUGUUUGUGAUGACUUACAUGGAAUCUCGUUCGGCUGAUGACUUGCUGUUGAGACUCUGAAAUCUGAUUUUCUGAGAAUGAUGGGUGGGAACAACAUAAUGCGGGAUAUGAGAAGCACUACUGACUUGGUCUUCCUCCUUUCAGGGCCAGCACCUUCUCUCUAAAGCCCAAGAGGAGUUUGAGGUAAAUGGCUUUGCAAUAGUUACCAUCAAUGGCUGCUAUAUAAAAUUUUCUGUGAUUUUUGUGUGUGAUAGCACUGUGGUCUGGGUGAAUGUACACAGACAUAACUGGCUUAACCCAAAGUCUUUGAUCUCCUGAACCACCAGUGAUGAAUUGCUGCUCACCAGUGAUGAGUUGAAUACCGCCCCAGUCUGAUCAAUGUGUGACUGAAAGGUAUUUUCUGAGCUGUGAGCCUGCCUUCCAGUGACAUGUUCUAAAAAUUGCAAGUUAUUUGAGGAGGCUUUACAGCCAAUAGGAAGUUCUUGGGCUAAGUAGUGUUUCCUAUAAAAUGUGCCCUGAAACUUCUUUCUGCCAAGCAAUAGAUACAAUUGAGAGAUUGUAAAAUGUGACAUAGAAUGAAAGUCUCUCAAGACUACAUUUUUCUUUCUUGAUUUUGCAGGAAAACUAGGUGUCUGUGUUCACUCCAGGCUGAAGUUACAGGUGAGUAAACCUAAAUGUAAGGUGGACUAUGCUAAAAAUUCCCAAUGAAGAAACUUUCACAUGUCUUACUCUCUGUCCUAGUCCCAGAGCCUGUAAAGGUGAACCCACUGGGACUGGCUGGGGGAGAAGAGGAAGAUUUGUUCCAGAAGGAACUGUCUGAGGGAUGAUAAAGAUUUCUAUACAGAGAAAGGGAGUAAUCAUCACUUGUUGAAAACAUUGGUUUUAUUUUUUCCAGGUCUGAGCAAAUAAGGUGUAUAAAAAAUGGACAUCAGAAGGUGAAUUUUCCAAGUUCUUGGACAACCUAGCUGUUGAAAAGCUUUCUGGGUUUGGGGGGUAUUUCAGAUGUACCUUAAAGUGUUAGCAGACACAGAUUAAGACACUGGGAGCCAAUGAAACAGCAGUUGAGGGUUUGCUGUGUAUCACAUUUCUGUAUUUUAUCACCCCCUUCCUGCAACAUUAUUUAUCUGGAAUCUACCUGCCCUUUUGUUUUUUAGAUACAAGGGCUUGGUUUUGUUACCCAGGCUGGUUUCAAGGCCAUAGCUUUAAGAGAUCCUCUCACCACAGAUUUCCAAAGUGCUGGGAUUGCAGGUGUGAUUCAUGGCACCCAGACUUUGCUGCCUUUCUUACAUGAUCCAGGCCCAGAACCCAAACUCAGGCACUGUAUAGAUGACCACUUUCGUAAACUACUGACCUAGCUUGUUGCCAAUUGUUGAUUGAACUUCCCAUAACUCCACUUCGUGUCUGUUCCUCUGUAUACAGCCACCUUCUGUUCCCGUCAUGAGCCUUUAGGUCUCCAUUUGCAUAUUGCAAAUACUAUGUUCCAUGUAGGUAGCUCAUUCAGGGCCUUGCUCUUCACUUCAAAAAAGGUUCCCUUGAGGACUGGCUGUCAAUUUGUGUUGCU
ensembl:lncRNA SNHG1 small nucleolar RNA host gene 1